AAUAUUCCACAAUGCGCGAAAGCGUGAUGGAGCGAUGCCGCGUGCAGGAUGAAGCCCCUCGGGGUGUAAACUGCUGUCAGGGGUUACCAAUGAAUUGAGGAGCCCCAGAGGAAGAGGCGGCUAACUCUGUGCCAGCAGCCGCGGUAAUACAGAGGCCUCGAGCGUUAAUCGGAGUCACUGGGCUUAAAGGGUGCGUAGGCGGCGCCGCAAGUGUCUUGUGAAAUCCCACGGCUCAACCGUGGAAUUGCUCGACAGACUGCGGUGCUUGAGGUUGGUAGGGGUCGCUGGAACUCUAGGUGGAGCGGUGAAAUGCGUAGAUAUCUAGAGGAACGCCGAAGGUGAAGACAGGCGACUGGGCCAAUUCUGACGCUGAGGCACGAAAGCGUGGGGAGCGAAC
rnacentral:rRNA from 1 species